rnacentral:rRNA from 1 species
UACGUAGGGUGCGAGCGUUGUCCGGAAUUAUUGGGCGUAAAGAGCUUGUAGGCGGUCUGUCGCGUCUGCUGUGAAAAUCCGGGGCUCAACCCCGGACUUGCAGUGGGUACGGGCAGACUAGAGUGUGGUAGGGGAGACUGGAAUUCCUGGUGUAGCGGUGGAAUGCGCAGAUAUCAGGAGGAACACCGGUGGCGAAGGCGGGUCUCUGGGCCGAUACUGACGCUGAGGAGCGAAAGCGUGGGGGAGCGAACAGG